rnacentral:tRNA from 1 species
GCGCCCGUAGCUCAGCCAGGAUAGAGCAGCGGUUUCCUAAACCGCGUGUCAGAGGUUCAAAUCCUCUCGGGCGUA